rnacentral:rRNA from 1 species
UACGUAGGGGGCUAGCGUUGUCCGGAAUCAUUGGGCGUAAAGAGCGCGUAGGCGGCCAGAUAAGUCCGGUGUGAAAGUCAAAGGCUCAACCUUUGAAUGCCGCUGGAAACUGUCUGGCUAGAGUCCGGGGAGGGGCGAGUGGAAUUCCUGGUGUAGCGGUGAAAUGCGCAGAUAUCAGGAGGAACACCAAUGGCGAAGGCAGCUCGCUGGAACGGUACUGACGCUGAGGCGCGAAAGCGUGGGGAGCGAACAGG